rnacentral:rRNA from 1 species
UACGGAGGGUGCAAGCGUUAUCCGGUUUCACUGGGUUUAAAGGGUGCGUAGGCGGAUAUGUAAGUCCGUGGUGAAAUCUCUGGGCUUAACCCGGAAACUGCCAUGGAUACUAUGUGUCUUGAAUGUUGUUGAGGUGAGCGGAAUAUGUCAUGUAGCGGUGAAAUGCUUAGAUAUGACAUAGAACACCAAUUGCGAAGGCAGCUCACUAAGCAAAUAUUGACGCUGAGGCACGAAAGCGUGGGGAUCAAACAGG